rnacentral:rRNA from 1 species
AGUCGAGCGGACAGAUGGGAGCUUGCUCCCUGAUGUUAGCGGCGGACGGGUGAGUAACACGUGGGUAACCUGCCUGUAAGACUGGGAUAACUCCGGGAAACCGGGGCUAAUACCGGAUGCUUGAUUGAACCGCAUGGUUCAAUUAUAAAAGGUGGCUUUUACCUACCACUUACAGAUGGACCCGCGGCGCAUUACCUAGUUGGUGAGGUAACGGCUCACCAAGGCAACGAUGCGUAGCCGACCUGAAAGGGUGAUCGGCCACACUGGGACUGAAACACGGCCCAAACUCCUACGGGAGGCAGCAGUAGGGAAUCUUCCGCAAUGGACAAAAGUCUGACGGAGCAACGCCGCGUGAGUGAUGAAGGUUUUCGGAUCGUAAAACUCUGUUGUUAGGGAAAAACAAGUACCGUUCGAAUAGGGCGGUACCUUGACGGUACCUAACCAGAAAGCCACGGCUAACUACGUGCCACCACCCGCGGUAAUACGUAGGUGGCAAGCGUUGUCCGGAAUUAUUGGGCGUAAAGCGCGCGCAGGCGGUUUCUUAAGUCUGAUGUGAAAGCCCCCGGCUCACCCGGGGAGGGUCA